ensembl:lncRNA
GAUCCCAGCACAGCUGCGCUCAUUAACGGCGAUACGUACGAUUCAUUAAUAUAGAAUAUAAUUCCACACAGGUGAGCUGGGAACCACAAGGUUGGUGGUUUGAGCCCCGGCUGCUCCAUGUCCCACGUCAACGUGUCCCUGAGCAAGACACCUGACCCCUAAUUGCUCCCUGGGCAAAAAUGAACCGUUGUUCUGGAGUUCGCUGGUGGAGGCAGCAGACGGGCACUAUGGGGGGUCACAGGACCCCGUGGAGACCAGCGGCUCCUCAGCUGAGAUGUUCUUUUUACCACAACACCAUCUCUUUUAUUAAUUACAUUUGAUUUUAACCUUUUGAUGUCCUUUGUCCGUCCGGCGGUUCUUCAUUUUGAACACAAUACAAACGUGUUAAUCCCAGUGCCACACUUCUUAAACCACAUGAAAUGUUGCUUCACUCUGCAAACGGCUCCAUAACCUCAGCACACAUAAGAAUCCUGCACAAACAGUAAUUGUACCACUCAGUUGGAUCAUGAAUACAAAUAGAACAUUUUACUGCCUCGAUUAUCGAGAAAACCUUUGCUGGAAUGGAUGUGCUCUCAGACGGACACUAAACCAUUUCAUCACUAUGAAUGGUAGCUUCUCUCUGUGGGCCCGACUUCCAUGUCCCACCUGAGACUGUAUUCCACCUCCAUGUGCACUUCUCUGCUUUAUCUGCGAGACCUCCAUCCGAUAUGCAAAACUGUGU